rnacentral:rRNA from 1 species
AAUAUUGCGCAAUGGGGGGAACCCUGACGCAGCAACGCCGCGUGAGUGAAGAAGGCCUUCGGGUUGUAAACCCCUUUCAGCAGGGAAGAAGCGAGAGUGACGGUACCUGCAGAAGAAGCGCCGGCUAACUACGUGCCAGCAGCCGCGGUAAUACGUAGGGCGCAAGCGUUGUCCGGAAUUAUUGGGCGUAAAGAGCUCGUAGGCGGUCAGUCGCGUCUGCUGUGAAAACCCGAGGCUCAACCUCGGGCCUGCAGUGGGUACGGGCUGACUAGAGUGCGGUAGGGGAGACUGGAAUUCCUGGUGUAGCGGUGGAAUGCGCAGAUAUCAGGAGGAACACCGAUGGCGAAGGCAGGUCUCUGGGCCGCAACUGACGCUGAGGAGCGAAAGCAUGGGGAGCGAAC